rnacentral:rRNA from 1 species
CCUACGGGUGGCAGCAGUAGGGAAUAUUGCACAAUGGGGGAAACCCUGAUGCAGUAACGCCGCGUGGAGGAUGAAGGUUUUCGGAUUGUAAACUCCUUUUGUUAGAGAAGAUAAUGACGGUAUCUAACGAAUAAGCACCGGCUAACUCCGUGCCAGCAGCCGCGGUAAUACGGAGGGGGCAAGCGUUACCCGGAUUCACUGGGCGUAAAGGGCGCGUAGGCGGGAUAGCAAGUCAGAAGUGAAAUCCUAUGGCUUAACCAUAGAACUGCAUUUGAAACUGUUAAUCUAGAGUAUGGGAGAGGUAGGUGGAAUUCUUGGUGUAGCGGUAAAAUCCGUAGAGAUUAAGAGGAAUACUCAUUGCGAAGGCGACCUGCUAGAACAUAACUGACGUUGAUGCUCGAAAGCGUGGGGAGCAAACAGGAUUAGAUACCCCUGUAGUC